AAAUCAAAAAGUUGUAAUAAAAAAAUGAAAAAAUUAUUAUUUUUUAUUAUUUUAGUUUUAGUUAUAGUUGUGGUCUGUUGUGAAUGCCGAAUAGAAUUGUUGAAUAAAACAGAAAUCCUCUCCUAAAAACAACCACCCGGAAGAAUUUUUUUUAGGUCGUAGAUCGUAUAAUUAAGUGAACAGAAGCUGAUUGAGUGAACAGAAGGAGAAAAUUUAAAUUAACAAACAAAAAAAACUUUUAUUUUUUAAUGAAUAAUUUAGCUGGUACAAUUAGUCGUUACACCUUACAAAGUAAAUUAUUAAGUAAGUGUUCCCGUAAAACUGAAAUUAACUAAAAAAAAUUACGUUUUUUGUGCAAAUAAAAUUCAAAAAACAAAA